AGAGUUUGAUCAUGGCUCAGAUUGAACGCUGGCGGCAGGCCUAACACAUGCAAGUCGAACGGUAACAGGAAGCAGCUUGCUGCUUCGCUGACGAGUGGCGGACGGGUGAGUAAUGUCUGGGAAACUGCCCGAUGGAGGGGGAUAACUACUGGAAACGGUAGCUAAUACCGCAUAAUGUCGCAAGACCAAAGAGGGGGACCUUCGGGCCUCUUGCCAUCGGAUGUGCCCAGAUGGGAUUAGCUUGUUGGUGAGGUAACGGCUCACCAAGGCGACGAUCCCUAGCUGGUCUGAGAGGAUGACCAGCCACACUGGAACUGAGACACGGUCCAGACUCCUACGGGAGGCAGCAGUGGGGAAUAUUGCACAAUGGGCGCAAGCCUGAUGCAGCCAUGCCGCGUGUAUGAAGAAGGCCUUCGGGUUGUAAAGUACUUUCAGCGGGGAGGAAGGUGUUGUGGUUAAUAACCACAGCAAUUGACGUUACCCGCAGAAGAAGCACCGGCUAACUCCGUGCCAGCAGCCGCGGUAAUACGGAGGGUGCAAGCGUUAAUCGGAAUUACUGGGCGUAAAGCGCACGCAGGCGGUCUGUCAAGUCGGAUGUGAAAUCCCCGGGCUCAACCUGGGAACUGCAUUCGAAACUGGCAGGCUUGAGUCUCGUAGAGGGGGGUAGAAUUCCAGGUGUAGCGGUGAAAUGCGUAGAGAUCUGGAGGAAUACCGGUGGCGAAGGCGGCCCCCUGGACGAAGACUGACGCUCAGGUGCGAAAGCGUGGGGAGCAAACAGGAUUAGAUACCCUGGUAGUCCACGCCGUAAACGAUGUCUAUUUGGAGGUUGUGCCCUUGAGGCGUGGCUUCCGGAGCUAACGCGUUAAAUAGACCGCCUGGGGAGUACGGCCGCAAGGUUAAAACUCAAAUGAAUUGACGGGGGCCCGCACAAGCGGUGGAGCAUGUGGUUUAAUUCGAUGCAACGCGAAGAACCUUACCUGGUCUUGAAUCUGGUCACGGAGCAUGCCCACUGAUGCCACAGCACAUUGAACUGCAAAACAUCGCUUUAGAGGCCGAUCGCCCGCUGGUGCACGGUGUGUCGUUAAC
rnacentral:rRNA from 1 species